AUACUUACCUGGCAGGGGGGAUACCGUGAUCAGAAAGGCGGUUCGCCCAGGGCGAGGCUCAGCCAUUGCACGAGGGCUUGCGCUGACCUCUGCGAAUUCCCCAAACGCGGGAAUCUCGACUGCACAAUUUCUGGUAGUGGGGGACUGCGUUCGCGCUCUCCCCUG
ensembl:snRNA U1 U1 spliceosomal RNA